rnacentral:rRNA from 1 species
GACGAACGCUGGCGGCGUGCCUAACACAUGCAAGUCGAACGGAAAGGCCCUGCUUGCAGGGUACUCGAGUGGCCAACGGGUGAGUAACUCGCGGGUGGUCUGCCCUCCACUUCGGGAUAAGCCUCGGAAACUGGGUCUAAUACCGGAUAGGAGCCAUUUUUAGUGUGAUGGUUGGAUAGUUUUUUGGGUGUAGGGUGAGCUGGCGGCCUAUCUGCUUGUUGGUGGGGUAAUGGCCUACCAAGGCGGCGACGGGUAGCCGGACUGAGGGGGUGGACGGCGACAUUGAGACUGAGGGAAGGCCGAGGCACCGACGGGGGGGAGAAGGGGGAAAGAUUGCAGGAGGAGCGCAGGGCGGAUGAAGAGGCGCCGCGUGGGGGAUGACGGCGUUCGGGUUGAAGACACAUUUCGCUAGGGACGAAGCUUGUUGUGACGGUACCUAGAUAGAAAGCACCGGCUAACUACGUG